AUUGAACGCUGGCGGCAGGCCUAACACAUGCAAGUCGAGCGGAGCGGCGGACGGGUGCGUAAUGCCUAGGAAUCUGCCUGGUAGUGGGGGAUAACGUCCGGAAAAGGGCGCUAAUUCCUCAUAUUAUCAGACGAGUCUAGGUCGGAUUAGCUAGUUGGUGGGUUAAAGGCCUACCAAGGCGACGAUCCGUAACUGGUCCGAGAGGAUGAUCAGUCACACUGGAACUGAGACACGGUCCAGACUCCUACGGGAGGCAGCAGUGGGGAAUAUUGGACAAUGGGCGAAAGCCUGAUCCAGCCAUGCCGCGUGUGUGAAGAAGGUCUUAGGAUUGUAAAGCACUUUAAGUUGGGAGGCGUUACCAACAGAAUAAGCACCGGCUAACUUCGUGCCAGCAGCCGCGGUAAUUC
rnacentral:rRNA from 1 species